AUUGAACGCUGGCGGCAGGCCUAACACAUGCAAGUCGAGCGAGCGGCGGACGGGUGAGUAAUGUAUGGGGACUGCCCGAUAGAGGGGGAUAACUACUGGAAACGGUAGCUAAUACCGCAUCCUAUCGGAUAACCCAUAUGGGAUUAGCUAGUAGGUGAGGUAAAGGCUCACCUAGGCGACGAUCCCUAGCUGGUCUGAGAGGAUGAUCAGCCACACUGGGACGUAGAAACGGCCCAUACUCCUAAGGAGGCAACAGGGGGGAAUAUUGGACAAUGGGCGCAAGCCUGAUGCAGCCAUGCCGCGUGUAUGAAGAAGGCCCUAGGGUUGUAAAGUACUUUCAGUCGGGAGGCGUUACCGACAGAAGAAGCACCGGCUAACUCCGUGCCAGCCGCCGCGGUAAUUC
rnacentral:rRNA from 1 species